rnacentral:rRNA from 1 species
UACGUAGGGGGCGAGCGUUGUCCGGAGUUACUGGGCGUAAAGCGCACGCAGGCGGUCUGCUAAGUUUGGAGUGACAGUUGGUGGCUUAACUGCCAAAGUGCUUCGAAAACUGACAGACUUGAGGGCUUCAGAGGGACACGGAAUUCCGGGUGGAGUGGUGAAAUGCGUAGAGAUCCGGAGGAACACCAAAGGCGAAGGCAGUGUCCUGGGGAGUACCUGACGCUGAGGCGCGAAGGCGUGGGGAGCGAACGGG